ensembl:snoRNA
GGUGUGAUGUGUGCGUGGUUGUCAUCUGCGUCAUGUACCGUCGCCAGGCUGUGUCUUACAGCGUGUCGGCAGUGCUCACUCCACACACCUGCGGCCAUAGAGCCACUGGAGAUCAUAGUACUGGCUCUGUGAAGUCUUUGACUCCUUACCACUGGUCAGCCUCCAUACUCUCCUACAAAC